rnacentral:lncRNA from 1 species
GGGGAGGAAAAAAAACCACGCAAGUUGGCUAGAAAACGGGAUGCUCGGGGCGACAAACUCUAUUGAAAAAAAAAAAAAGAAAUAAAUAGGGAAGUCUGGACGAGGGAGAUAGUGUUUCUGAUAGACUCAACGAUAAAAGAAUGCUCGGCUAAAAAAAAGAGGGGGAUGAAGAUUAGAGAGAAGAAAAAUACCAGACCGUCCCAGGUGUACGUAAUUUUAACUUGUGGCAGCUGAUAAUAAACUUAAGAAUAACGGGAGCGUGUUAUUCUUGGAACGAAGAGAUAUACUAUAGGUAUACAUUGAAGUCAUAUAAAAUGAGUUGAAUGAGAUCCGGUGACUCUGUAACGGAGGUGGAAAAGCUUAGGUUUUGCCUUGGCCCUGUCGUUUAAUUUGACGGAAACGCAGACGUAGCAGAAUGCUAUCACGAAGAAUGGCAGCACAAACUGGAGGAUCGACGUCAGGCAGCUGAAAACCUUUCGGAUUCUUUCGCCUGGCCAAUUUUCUUCGCAGAAUCUGUUGAAAGGGAUAAAUUAUGACGAAGAAUCUGUCCACCGCUAUCCCAGUCAGAGUUAACGUGCUUAUGUAGAUACUGGCGCCUUGGGC